rnacentral:lncRNA from 1 species
AGAUUGAUGGACUCCAGUCUUUAUCUUAUUACAGGAAGCCAGCACUCUUGUUCUACCAAGGAGUGGCAGUGGCUCUGGUUACCUAUGCCGCAAAGCACCAGAAAAGUUGGUGACAUCUCACUGAUGUUCCACUGGUGGGGCCUCAAGGAAAGAGCAAUGCCGCAUGAGCCUGCUUCAUGUUUUUAUGUGAAAAGAUAG